CAGUAGCCGCGGUAAUACGGAGGGUGCAAGCGUUAAUCGGAAUUACUGGGCGUAAAGCGCACGCAGGCGGUCUGACAAGUCAGAUGUGAAAUCCCCGGGCUUAACCUGGGAACUGCAUUUGAAACUGUCAGGCUGGAGUCUUGUAGAGGGGGGUAGAAUUCCAGGUGUAGCGGUGAAAUGCGUAGAGAUCUGGAGGAAUACCGGUGGCGAAGGCGGCCCCCUGGACAAAGACUGACGCUCAGGUGCGAAAGCGUGGGGAGCAAACAGGAUUAGAUACCCGAGUAGCCCCUGUCUCUUAUAC
rnacentral:rRNA from 1 species